UGUACAUUAAAGAUCCACUGAUCUUCACAUA
rnacentral:piRNA from 1 species